rnacentral:rRNA from 1 species
GACGAACGCUGGCGGCGUGCCUAAUACAUGCAAGUCGAGCGGAACUGGGGGAGCUUGCUCCUUCCAGUUCAGCGGCGGACGGGUGAGUAACACGUGGGCAACCUGCCCUGCAGAUCGGGCUAACUCCGGGAAACCGGUGCUAAUACCGAAUAGUUUGAGGCCUCUCCUGAGGCUUCACGGAAAGACGGUUUCGGCUGUCACUGCAGGAUGGGCCCGCGGCGCAUUAGCUAGUUGGUGGGGUAACGGCCCACCAAGGCCACGAUGCGUAGCCGACCUGAGAGGGUGACCGGCCACACUGGGACUGAGACACGGCCCAGACUCCUACGGGAGGCAGCAGUAGGGAAUCUUCCGCAAUGGACGCAAGUCUGACGGAGCAACGCCGCGUGAGUGACGAAGGUUUUCGGAUCGUAAAACUCUGUUGUGAGGGAAGAACACGUACCAACUAACUAUUGGUACCUUGACGGUACCUCACCAGAAAGCCACGGCUAACUACGUGCCAGCCGCCGCAGUAA